rnacentral:rRNA from 1 species
CCUAGGUGAUCUGCAGUGGGGAAUAUUGGACAAUGGGCGAAAGCCUGAUCCAGCCAUGCCGCGUGUGUGAAGAAGGCCUUCGGGUUGUAAAGCACUUUCAGUGGGGAAGAAAGCCUUGGGGCUAAUACCCUCGAGGAAGGACAUCACCCACAGAAGAAGCACCGGCUAACUCCGUGCCAGCAGCCGCGGUAAUACGGAGGGUGCGAGCGUUAAUCGGAAUUACUGGGCGUAAAGCGCGCGUAGGCGGUCUGAUAAGCCGGUUGUGAAAGCCCCGGGCUCAACCUGGGAACGGCAUCCGGAACUGUCAGGCUAGAGUGCAGGAGAGGAAGGUAGAAUUCCCGGUGUAGCGGUGAAAUGCGUAGAGAUCGGGAGGAAUACCAGUGGCGAAGGCGGCCUUCUGGACUGACACUGACGCUGAGGUGCGAAAGCGUGGGUAGCAAACAGGAUUAGAUACCCCUGUAGUC